rnacentral:rRNA from 1 species
GACGAACGCUGGCGGCGUGCUUAACACAUGCAAGUCGAACGGUAAGGCUCCAGCUUGCUGGGGUACACGAGUGGCGAACGGGUGAGUAACACGUGGGUGACCUGCCCUGCACUUCGGGAUAAGCCUGGGAAACUGGGUCUAAUACCGGAUAGGACUGCACCGUGAGGGUGUGGUGGAAAGUUUUUUCGGUGUGGGAUGGGCCCGCGGCCUAUCAGCUUGUUGGUGGGGUAAUGGCCUACCAAGGCGGCGACGGGUAGCCGGCCUGAGAGGGUGGACGGCCACAUUGGGACUGAGACACGGCCCAGACUCCUACGGGAGGCAGCAGUGGGGAAUAUUGCACAAUGGGCGGAAGCCUGAUGCAGCGACGCCGCGUGGGGGAUGACGGCCUUCGGGUUGUAAACUCCUUUCACCAUCGACGAAGGGUUUCUGACGGUAGAUGGAGAAGAAGCACCGGCUAACUACGUGCCAGCAGCCGCGGUAAUACGUAGGGUGCGAGCGUUGUCCGGAAUUACUGGGCGUAAAGAGCUCGUAGGUGGUUUGUCGCGUCGUCUGUGAAAUUCCGGGGCUUAACUCCGGGCGUGCAGGCGAUACGGGCAUAACUUGAGUACUGUAGGGGAGACUGGAAUUCCUGGUGUAGCGGUGAAAUGCGCAGAUAUCAGGAGGAACACCGGUGGCGAAGGCGGGUCUCUGGGCAGUAACUGACGCUGAGGAGCGAAAGCAUGGGGAGCGAACAGGAUUAGAUACCCUGGUAGUCCAUGCCGUAAACGGUGGGCGCUAGGUGUGGGUUUCCUUCCACGGGAUCCGUGCCGUAGCUAACGCAUUAAGCGCCCCGCCUGGGGAGUACGGCCGCAAGGCUAAAACUCAAAGGAAUUGACGGGGGCCCGCACAAGCGGCGGAGCAUGUGGAUUAAUUCGAUGCAACGCGAAGAACCUUACCUGGGCUUGACAUAUACAGGAUCGCGCCAGAGAUGGUGUUUCCCUUGUGGCUUGUAUACAGGUGGUGCAUGGUUGUCGUCAGCUCGUGUCGUGAGAUGUUGGGUUAAGUCCCGCAACGAGCGCAACCCUUGUCUUAUGUUGCCAGCACGUUGUGGUGGGGACUCGUAAGAAACUGCCGGGGUUAACUCGGAGGAAGGUGGGGAUGACGUCAAAUCAUCAUGCCCCUUAUGUCCAGGGCUUCACACAUGCUACAAUGGUCGGUACAGUGGGUUGCCAGUCCGUGAGGGCGAGCUAAUCCCGCAAAGCCGGUCUCAGUUCGGAUCGGGGUCUGCAACUCGACCCCGUGAAGUCGGAGUCGCUAGUAAUCGCGGAUCAGCAACGCUGCGGUGAAUACGUUCCCGGGCCU